GGGGGAGCAAGCGUUGUUCGGAUUUACUGGGCGUAAAGGGCGCGUAGGCGGCCACCGCAAGUCGGUUGUGAAAUCUCCGGGCUUAACCCGGAAAGGUCAAUCGAUACUGCGGGGCUAGAGUGCAGAAGGGGCAACUGGAAUUCUCGGUGUAGCGGUGAAAUGCGUAGAUAUCGAGAGGAACACCUGCGGCGAAGGCGGGUUGCUGGGCUGACACUGACGCUGAAGCGCGAAAGCUAGGGGAGCGAACGGGAUUAGAUACCCCGGUAGUCCUAGCCUUAGACGAUGAAUGCUUGGGUGUCUGGGGUUUUAUAGUCCCCGGGUGCCGUCGCUAGCGCUUUAAGCAUUCCGCCUGGGGAGUACGGUCGCAAGACUG
rnacentral:rRNA from 1 species